rnacentral:rRNA from 1 species
UGCGGAGGGAUCAUUACACAAAUAUGAAGGCGGGCUGGAACCUCUCGGGGUUACAGCCUUGCUGAAUUAUUCACCCUUGUCUUUUGCGUACUUCUUGUUUCCUUGGUGGGUUCGCCCACCACUAGGACAAACAUAAACCUUUUGUAAUUGCAAUCAGCGUCAGUAACAAAUUAAUAAUUACAACUUUCAACAACGGAUCUCUUGGUUCUGGCAUCGAUGAAGAACGCAGCGAAAUGCGAUAAGUAGUGUGAAUUGCAGAAUUCAGUGAAUCAUCGAAUCUUUGAACGCACAUUGCGCCCUUUGGUAUUCCAAAGGGCAUGCCUGUUCGAGCGUCAUUUGUACCCUCAAGCUUUGCUUGGUGUUGGGCGUCUUGUCUCUAGCUUUGCUGGAGACUCGCCUUAAAGUAAUUGGCAGCCGGCCUACUGGUUUCGGAGCGCAGCACAAGUCGCACUCUCUAUCAGCAAAGGUCUAGCAUCCACUAAGCCUUUUUUUCAACUUUUGACCUCGGAUCAGGUAGGGAUACCCGCUGAACUUAAGCAUAUC